rnacentral:rRNA from 1 species
AAGGUGCUAGCCUCCUUGAUGAUGCUUAUCUCAUGGGAGAUAUGGACAGAGCGUAACGCUAGGGUCUUUCGAGACACGAUCAUCCCUUCCAUGGUCCUAAUCUGUAAGAUCAAAGAGGAGGUGUCUCUUUGGGCAGUGGCAGGUGCAAAGCACAUGAGUGUUGUAAUGCCGCGAGAGUAG